rnacentral:rRNA from 1 species
CAAGUCGAACGCAGUAGCAAUACUGAGUGGCAGACGGGUGAGUAACAUGUGGGAAUCUGCCUUGUGGUUCAGGACAACAUUGGGAAACUGAUGCUAAUACUGGAUAAGCCCUUACGGGGAAAGUUUUAAUGCCAUAAGAUGAGCCCGCAUUUGAUUAGUUAGUUGGUGAGGUAAUGGCUCACCAAGACAAUGAUCAAUAGCUGAUCUGAGAGGAUGAUCAGCCACACUGGGACUGAGACACGGCCCAGACUCCUACGGGAGGCAGCAGUGGGGAAUCUUGCACAAUGGAGGAAACUCUGAUGCAGCGAUGCCGCGUGAGUGAAGAAGGCCUUUGGGUUGUAAAGCUCUUUUGUAGGGGAAGAUAAUGACUGUACCCUAAGAAUAAGGUCCGGCUAACUUCGUGCCAGCAGCCGCGGUAAUACGAAGGGACCUAGCGUAGUUCGGAAUUACUGGGCGUAAAGCGCGCGUAGGCCGUUGAGUUAGUUAAUUGUGAAAUCCCAAAGCUUAACUUUGGAACUGCAAUUAAAACUGCUCGACUAGAGUUUGAUAGAGGAAAGCGGAAUACAUAGUGUAGAGGUGAAAUUCGUAGAUAUUAUGUAGAACACCAGUUGCGAAGGCGGCUUUCUGGAUCAACACUGACGCUGAGGCGCGAAAGUAUGGGUAGCAAAGAGGAUUAGAUACCCUCGUAGUCCAUACCAUAAACGAUGAUUGCUAGAUGUUGGAAUUUAUUUUCAGUAUCGCAGCUAACGCAUUAAGCAAUCCGCCUGGGGAGUACGACCGCAAGGUUAAAACUCAAAUGAAUUGACGGG